AUUGAACGCUGGCGGCAGGCCUAACACAUGCAAGUCGAACGGAGCGGCGGACGGGUGAGUAAUGCCUAGGAAUCUGCAUGGUAGUGGGGGAUAACGACCGGAAACGGGCGAUAAUACCGCAUACUAUCAGAUGAGCCUAGGUCGGAUUAGCUAGUUGGUGGGGUAAAGGCCUACCAAGGCGAAGAUCCGUAACUGGUCUGAGCGGAUGAGCAGGCACACUGGAACUGAGACACGGUCCAGACGCCGACGGGUGGCAGCAGUGGGAAAUAUUGGAAAAUGGGCGAAAGCCUGAUGCAGCCAUGCCGCGUGUGUGAAGAAGGUCUUCGGAUUGUAAAGCACUUUAAGUUGGUAGGCGUUACCAACAGAAUAAGCACCGGCUAACUUCGUGCCAGCAGCCGCGGUAAUAC
rnacentral:rRNA from 1 species